AAAAAGUUUUUAUUUGAUUUUUUUAAUUAAUAAUUUAUUUUAUUAUAUGUAAAUUUUGAAUUUUAAAUAAUUUACUUGCAGUAAUAAGUAUUAAAUUUAUAAGAAAUUAUGAUUUAGGAAUUAAAUUUAGUAUUAACAAAAUUUGUGCCAGCAGUUGCGGUUAUACAAAUAAUACAAUUAAUUAUUAUUGGUUAAUAAUAAAUUAUUUAUGAUAAAUUAAUAAAUAAGAAAUUUUUUUAGGUGAAAUUUAAAAAUUUUAAUUAUUAUUUAAUAUAUUAUGAUUUAUGAAAUUAAUUUAUAAACUAGGAUUAGAUACCCUAUUAUUUUUAGUGUAAAUAAAUUACCAGAUUAGUAUUAGUUAUGUUCUUUAAAAUUAAAAAUUUUGGCGGUAUUUUAGUCUUUUUAGAGGAACCUGUUCUGUAAUUGAUAAUCCACAAUUUUUUAAACUUAUUUUAAAUAAUUUGUAUAUCGUCGUAGUUGAAUAUUUUAUAAGGAUAUAAAUAUUCAUAAUUUUUAAUUAAAAAGUAAAUCAGAUCAAGGUGCAGUUUAUAGAUAAGUAGAAAUGGGUUACAAUAAAUAAAUUUAUGGAUAUUUAAUUUAAAAUUAAGUUGAAAUUGGAUUUAAUAGUAAUAAGAUUAAAUUAAUUUUUAUGAUUUUAGCUCUAAAAUAUGUACAUAUCGCCCGUCGCUCUCAUAUAAAAUGAGAUAAGUCGUAACAAAGUAGAUGUACUGGAAAGUGUAUCUAGUAAGAC
rnacentral:ncRNA from 1 species